rnacentral:misc_RNA from 1 species
GAUGAAGAACGUAGCGAAAUGCGAUACGUAAUGUGAAUUGCAAGUUCAGUGAAUCAUCGAGUCUUUGAACGCACAUUGCGCCCCCUGGUAUUCCGGGGGGCAUGCCUGUCCGAGCGUCAUUGCUGCCCUCAAGCACGGCUUGUGUGUUGGGCCCCGUCCUCCGAUUCCGGGGGACGGGCCCGAAAGGCAGCGGCGGCACCGCGUCCGGUCCUCGAGCGUAUGGGGCUUUGUCACCCGCUCUGUAGGCCCGGCCGGCGCUUGCCGAUCAACCCAAAUUUUUAUCCAGGUUGACCUCGGAUCAGGUAGGGAUACCCGCUGAACUUAAGCAUAUCAAUAAGCGGAGGA